GCUGCAGUAAAGGACGCCGAGCAAAAACACCAAAUGAAUCUACAGAUUGGGGCCAGCAGGAAGUAUGAAGUGAAAUUGAGAGACGGUGCUAGCAAGCCAGAGGAGCGGCUGAAGCUGCCCGCAGUACAACCACCUCUGCUCAGGCCUGCCUACAAUGCACUUAAUGCCUACACUGCUCCAACAGAAAUGGGUAGUACCGCAGAAGCUGCUGAGGACACAGCCCAUAAUUCUAAAGAAAACAUUGAUCAUGAUCUUAUAGAAGGGGCUGUUGCAAGUAAGCGAGCAACGAUGCAAGGGCGAUGCUAUGGAUACGGAGAGGAAUAUAUUAUAGGAAAGCAAUGCAAGAACAGCUCCCUGCAUGUGUUACAAACACAGAAAAAGGUUGAAAUGGGUGUUGAAUCUGAAACAGCAAAAGAAGAAGAAAGGGAGCUACAAAAAGUAGAUGAAGGGAAUGUCUAUGAGGCUAUAGGUAUCCAGGAGUCAGGCAACCAAACCCAAUUAAUUUUGAAUGAUGAUAGAAACCUACAUAGCCUCAUUGACUUCGGGAUUGCAAAGGCUACCCAAGUUGAAUCUACUACUUUUGCAACCUUGAGAACGAUAGCGGACUGUGAUCACAAGAUGCUAAACAAAAGUUAUUACCCUCAGUUUGCAAAGAAUAAGCGAGAACAUCAGUUCCUUGUUGAUUCAAAAAAAUUGGGGCUCAAAGAUUCAGAUGCAGUGCUUGGAGUUUAUUGGAUGAAGGAAUUUAGGCAAGUGCCUUUUGAUCCAGGACCUAACAAGGUAACAAUUCAUAGUAUUGAAGAAGCUUCUCACAUGCCUAACAUCACAAAUGAAAUGCCAAUGGUAAUCAAGCAUAGAGCACAAUUACUAGCAGCUCAGCCCUAUAUGAUUAAAUCUGGAGCAACAAUGGAGGAGAUGCAUUCUUGUAUACAAAAGCUACAUAGAGAAAUUGAAGAUGAAGGUAAUAAGCCAGCUACACCACAUAGUUGCAAUAGAUCUUCUAUAUUGGGAACAAGUACAGUUUUAAGCCCAGAAAAUAGACCCCUUGCUUAUCUCAGUCCAAUAUGGAACCAAAUUCAUUAUGUGCAGUCCACCUAUGAGAACGAAUUCAUUGCAAUUCUAUGGGAAGAGAGCAAUCUGUAUCAUGCCAAGUCCUUCCCGACAAUGGAAUUUCUGUGGCUCGAUGGAAAUAACACUUGGAAGUGGAUUAGCAGUUAUGAGAAUUACUGUAAGCUACACCAAAUCAGUAAUCAACAAAAGGUGGAAAUUGCAACAAUGUUGAGGCAGCAAAUGAGACCACAAGACUUGCGGGUUCAAAUGCUAAGUCCAAUUCUUAGUCUGGCAGAGGCUUGCUAUGUGUGGGAUUAUGUGAAUGAGUACAAGAAGCUAGGAACUGUGCUUAAGAUGCCUCACCCAUGCUCGCGAUUUCUGGCCUAUGAACAAGACAAACUGCAGGAAUCUGAUGAAUUGAUUGCCUAUCUAAACAAUGGAUUGAAUCAAAAGCAUCAAGGAAGAUCCAUCUAUAAGAUGGAGACAAUUGCAAUUAUGCUGGUGGUGGCCACAUCGGAACAAAAUGUAAAACACAAGCAGUUAGUCAGCAGGAUAAACCAUGGAGACCACAAACAACUACUGGAACAGAAGGAUCACAUUGUUAUCCAGCAACUAGAGCAAAACUGUAAUGUGGGCUUAAGAGCUAAGAAGAAAAUUAGGCUCAAACAAUGCCACUAUGGGCUGUCCCCUGCAAGAUGGUGGAAGAAAGAGCAGGUCAUACACUUCUUUGAAGAACCACCAAACAAGCAACAACAGAGGAAAGAGUAUAAUGCUGAUAAAAGAAGAAGUAAAGGAGUUUUUGAGGUGAAAGAGCAAUUAUGCUUGAAGUUGUUACUCUGUGAGCAACCUAUCAUGUCUCUGGAAGGGUAUCUGAGGCUCACAAUUAACCAAUUUGGACUUUACUAUAUCUCGGAGCAAACAAGAUCGGCGGCGCGCAGGUUGCGACUACCUGAUGGUCCCAAGGGUGAACUCCUGCCCCAACAGGGCCGCCGUCCAUGCUACCAGCCGGAGGAGAUGGUCGAGUGUAGACAUAAUUGGAAAACACCUCAGAUCGGCGUGAAGGGGGGCAAGAAAACAGAACCGAUAUUAGAAAAUGGCUUAAAGAAGCAAUUUUGAAGAAGAAUGUGCCGCGAGGGAAGCAAAUGGGAGUCCCAACCCAGUUCAACAAGUUCCAUCCUUGAGGACAAGGAUGAUUUUAAGGGGAGGGGAUUGUAACAACCCUUGAAGAAUAAAUN
rnacentral:lncRNA from 1 species